rnacentral:rRNA from 1 species
AAGUUCUUUAUGACUGAGUGGCGAACGGGUGAGUAACGCGUGAGCAACCUGCCUUUCAGUGGGGGACAACAGUUGGAAACGACUGCUAAUACCGCAUAAUGCAUUUUGACCGCAUGAUCGAGAUGCCAAAGAUUUAUUGCUGAAAGAUGGGCUCGCGUCUGAUUAGAUAGUUGGUGAGGUAACGGCCCACCAAGUCGACGAUCAGUAGCCGGACUGAGAGGUUGAACGGCCACAUUGGGACUGAGAUACGGCCCAGACUCC